GACGUAGGGCGCGAGCGUUGUCCGGAUUUAUUGGGCGUAAAGAGCUCGUAGGCGGCUUGUCGCGUCGACUGUGAAAACUCGGGGCUCAACUCCGAGCUUGCAGUCGAUACGGGCAGGCUAGAGUUCGGUAGGGGAGACUGGAAUUCCUGGUGUAGUGGUGAAAUGCGCAGAUAUCAGGAGGAACACCGGUGGCGAAGGCGGGUCUCUGGGCCGAUACUGACGCUGAGGAGCGAAAGCGUGGGGAGCGAACAGG
rnacentral:rRNA from 1 species